ensembl:snRNA U4 U4 spliceosomal RNA
AGCUUUGUGCUGCGGUAGUACUGGAGUCAAUGAGGUUGAUCCGAGGCACGAUAAUUGCUGGUGGACAUGGACCCCAGGCAGCCACUGAAUUAGCUCUCUCUCCAAGCACAAUGCACUUCUGGAGCUCUCAAUUGUGUCUCGAGA